GAAAGUCGGAGCAAUCUGACACUAUAAGAUGGCUUUGCGGUGCAUUAGCUAGUUGGUAGGUAAAAGCCUACCCAAGGCGACGAUGCAUAGCCGACCUGAGAGGGUGAUCGGCCACAUUGGGACUGAGACACGGCCCAGACUCCUACGGGAGGCAGCAGUAGGGAAUCUUCCGCAAUGGACGCAAGUCUGACGGAGCAACGCCGCGUGAGUGAAGAAGGAUUUCGGUUCGUAAAACUCUGUUGUUAGGGAAGAAAAAAUGUAUAGUAACUAUAUACAAAAAGAGACGGUACCUAACCAGAAAGCCACGGCUAACUACGUGCCAGCAGCCGCGGUAAAU
rnacentral:rRNA from 1 species